GAGGAAAGAUAGGUAAGUAGAUCGGUGCUAAUAAGCUUGCUGGAAGAACGUAGUACAGAGAGCUCUGAGCUCCAUCCCACUUUCGAAGUUAGUGCAUAAACUCACUCCAAACACUACAAGGACGACCAUAACGCCGCUCCGUCCGAAGCCCAAAUCAUCGGCUAAAGCAUUUGUAAAAGGGAACAUAUAUACUCCUAUUUUGGUCUCCGAAACAAGACAACGCCAGACAUUUUUUCUCUCUCUCUC
rnacentral:lncRNA from 1 species